AUUGAACGCUGGCGGCAGGCUUAACACAUGCAAGUCGAGCGGAGAUGAGGUGCUUGCACCGUAUCUUAGCGGCGGACGGGUGAGUAAUGCUUAGGUAUCUGCCUAUUAGUGGGGGACAACAUCUCGAAAGGGAUGCUAAUACCGCAUACGUCCUACGGGAGAAAGCAGGGGAUCGUUAUGACCUUGCGCUAAUAUAUGAGCCUAAGUCGGAUUAGCUAGUUGGCGGGGUAACGGCCUACCAAGGCGACGAUCUGUAGCGGGUCUGAGAGGAUGAUCCGCCACACUGGGACUGAGACACGGUCCACACUCCUACGGGAGGCAGCAGUGGGGAAUAUUGGACAAUGGGGGGAACCCUGAUCCAACCAUGCCGCGUGUGUGAAGAAGGCCUUAUGGUUGUAAAGCACUUUAAGCGAGGAGGAGGCUCUUUUGGUUAAUACCCAAGAUGAGUGGACGUUACUCGCAGAAUAAGCACCGGCUAACUCUGUGCCAGCAGCCGCCGUAACAC
rnacentral:rRNA from 1 species